AUAUAUAUUCUAAUUAAUUCUUAAUUUUCAGGAAAAGGAAUGUGGGGGAGAUGUGACUUAUAUUGAGGUCUUUGUAAAGACCCAGAAGAAGAAGAAGAAGAAGAAGAGAAGAAGAAGAAGAAGAAGAAGAAGAAGGAUGGAUCGAAUCGCGUGCUUUAGAGACAUUUGACAAGUAUCAUAUUGAUUUUGAUGCAUGGUGACAAACUCAACCUAAAGGAACUCAGCCGGCCCCGGAAUAUAUGACUGCAAUUUGGACAAAAGCGGUUGGUGGCGUGAAUAAGGUCGAGUCUACGGGAUAGAAGUACAACCAUCCUCCAGUCGUCCACCAGUAGUAUUAUUCAAUGAGGCAUCAGUUUCCCAAGAAGACAUUAAAGCUAUGCGUCAAAAAGUGGAUCAAAUGUCACAAGAAU